rnacentral:rRNA from 1 species
CCUACGGGCGGCAGCAGUGAGGAAUAUUGGUCAAUGGACGAGAGUCUGAACCAGCCAAGUAGCGUGAAGGAUGACUGCCCUAUGGGUUGUAAACUUCUUUUAUAAAGGAAUAAAAUGAGGCACGUGUGCCUUUUUGUAUGUACUUUAUGAAUAAGGAUCGGCUAACUCCGUGCCAGCAGCCGCGGUAAUACGGAGGAUCCGAGCGUUAUCCGGAUUUAUUGGGUUUAAAGGGAGCGUAGAUGGGUUGUUAAGUCAGUUGUGAAAGUUUGCGGCUCAACCGUAAAAUUGCAAUUGAUACUGGCAGUCGUGAGUACAGUUGAGGUGGGCGGAAUUCGUGGUGUAGCGGUGAAAUGCUUAGAUAUCACGAAGAACUCCGAUUGCGAAGGCAGCUCACUAAACUGCCACUGACACUGAGGCUCGAAAGUGUGGGUAUCAAACAGGAUUAGAUACCCGGGUAGUC